rnacentral:rRNA from 1 species
UACGUAGGGCGCAAGCGUUGUCCGGAAUUAUUGGGCGUAAAGAGCUCGUAGGCGGCUUGUCGCGUCUGCCGUGAAAGCCCAUGGCUUAACUGUGGGUCUGCGGUGGAUACGGGCAGGCUGGAGGCUGGUAGGGGCAAGCGGAAUUCCUGGUGUAGCGGUGAAAUGCGCAGAUAUCAGGAGGAACACCGGUGACGAAGGCGGCUUGCUGGGCCAGUUCUGACGCUGAGGAGCGAAAGCGUGGGGAGCGAACAGG